AAUCCAUAGGUUAAUGAGGCGAACCGGGGGAACUGAAACAUCUAAGUACCCCGAGGAAAAGAAAUCAACCGAGAUUCCCCCAGUAGCGGCGAGCGAACGGGGAGGAGCCCAGAGCCUGAAUCAGCAUGUGUGUUAGUGGAAGCGUCUGGAAAGGCGCGCGAUACAGGGUGACAGCCCCGUACACAAAAGCGCAUGUGCUGUGAGCUCGAUGAGUAGGGCGGGACACGUGGUAUCCUGUCUGAAUAUGGGGGGACCAUCCUCCAAGGCUAAAUACUCCUGACUGACCGAUAGUGAACCAGUACCGUGAGGGAAAGGCGAAAAGAACCCCGGCGAGGGGAGUGAAAAAGAACCUGAAACCGUGUACGUACAAGCAGUGGGAGCACCCUUUGGGUGUGACUGCGUACCUUUUGUAUAAUGGGUCAGCGACUUAUAUUCUGUAGCAAGGUUAACCGAAUAGGGGAGCCGGAGGGAAACCGAGUCUUAACCGGGCGUUAAGUUGCAGGGUAUAGACCCGAAACCCGGUGAUCUAGCCAUGGGCAGGUUGAAGGUUGGGUAACACUAACUGGAGGACCGAACCGACUAAUGUUGAAAAAUUAGCGGAUGACCUGUGGCUGGGGGUGAAAGGCCAAUCAAACCGGGAGAUAGCUGGUUCUCCCCGAAAGCUAUUUAGGUAGCGCCUCGUGAAUUCAUCUCCGGGGGUAGAGCACUGUUUCGGCUAGGGGGCCAUCCCGGCUUACCAACCCGAUGCAAACUGCGAAUACCGGAGAAUGUUAUCACGGGAGACACACGGCGGGUGCUAACGUCCGUCGUGAAGAGGGAAACAACCCAGACCGCCAGCUAAGGUCCCAAAGUCAUGGUUAAGUGGGAAACGAUGUGGGAAGGCCCAGACAGCCAGGAUGUUGGCUUAGAAGCAGCCAUCAUUUAAAGAAAGCGUAAUAGCUCACUGGUCGAGUCGGCCUGCGCGGAAGAUGUAACGGGGCUAAACCAUGCACCGAAGCUGCGGCAGCGACACUGUGUGUUGUUGGGUAGGGGAGCGUUCUGUAAGCCUGCGAAGGUGGCCUGUGAGGGUUGCUGGAGGUAUCAGAAGUGCGAAUGCUGACAUAAGUAACGAUAAAGCGGGUGAAAAGCCCGCUCGCCGGAAGACCAAGGGUU
rnacentral:rRNA from 1 species